CCAAAGGCCUUCUUUAAGGCCACAAAUAUACAAUAAUCCAAAUCA
rfam:Caenorhabditis brenneri strain PB2801 C_brenneri-6.0.1_Cont81.1, whole genome shotgun sequence.